rnacentral:rRNA from 1 species
UACGAAGGGGGGCUAGCGUUGCUCGGAAUCACUGGGCGUAAAGGGUGCGUAGGCGGCGCGGUAAGUCGGGUGUGAAAUCUCGGAGCUUAACUCCGAAACUGCAUUCGAUACUGCCGUGCUUGAGGACUGGAGAGGAGACUGGAAUUCAUGGUGUAGCAGUGAAAUGCGUAGAGAUCAUGAGGAAGACCAGUGGCGAAGGCGGGUCUCUGGACAGUUCCUGACACUGAGACACGAAGGCCAGGGGAGCAAACGGG